AGCUCCAAUAGCGUAUAUUAAAGUUGUUGCAGUUAAAAAGCUCGUAGUUGGAUUUGUGGUGUACGCCGGCGGCCCGUCGCAAGACGGAGCUUGCUUGCGUCGCCAUCCUUGGGUGGAUCCUGUGUGGCAUUUAGUUGUCGUGCAGGGGAUGCCCAUCGUUUACUGUGAAAAAAUUAGAGUGUUCAAAGCAGGCUUACGCCGUUGAAUAUAUUAGCAUGGAAUAAUAAGAUAGGACCUUGGUACUAUUUUGUUGGUUUGCGCACCAAGGUAAUGAUUAAUAGGGACAGUUGGGGGUAUUCGUAUUCCAUUGUCAGAGGUGAAAUUCUUGGAUUUUUGGAAGACGAACUACUGCGAAAGCAUUUACCAAGGAUGUUUUCAUUAAUCAAGAACGAAAGUACGC
rnacentral:rRNA from 1 species